ACGAACGGACGUACCCUAGAAGAUUGUCGCAACUAACGUCAACUGACGGUGGCAGUCUAGGUGCGCAUGUGCUCCAAGGCUUCCCAACACACAUUUAGCAAUAGCUAGCCUGGCAGACUUAGCAGAACAUGCCACGUCUAACAUUACACAGUUGUUAGUGUUCGAGGUUUUCAAGGCGACAGCUGAAUAAAGUCGACGUGCAAAUGCCUUAGCCGCUUCCCAAGUUGCUGCAUGAGAGACAUGAUCCACACCGUUUAGGUGCUUCAUUUAUGCCAGGUUUUUUCAAAAUUUAAUGCGUGAGUGUCGGUCUGUCGCAAGCUGUCUGCCGGAAGCUGAAGCGGCGCGAGCUUUCCCAGGCGCUUCCCAGGUAUCUCCGCAACCUGACCACACGGCAUCCCCAUGUAUCUCUGCUGUUACGUUAUCACCCAUGAAGAGUUUUUUUAAUAACAAGCUUGCCCUCAAUUUCCGUUGGUGGACGUUCCGGCUGCAUGACGGAUGCGAUUGUUACAGUGGACCCCGAACGGGUCGAGUGCAGCGCCCAUAGGAACGCCUCCCGCACAACACUGUGGGCCUUAUUCAAAAAGAACUCGGCCAGGACGGCCGAGCCCAAUGACGGCCGAGCCCAAUGCUUCGUGCGUGGCCAUCUAGCCAGGACAUUACAACAGGCUCGGCAAAGUAGGACUCGACUAGCGGGCUUGCCAUACACGGUUUGGAUAAGGCAAUACAACCCUUUUUGCCACGCUGCAACUCGAAAUAACCAUACGCAUCCGUCUCCACCUGGGUCGCCAAGUCGCGGGCAGCUGUCGCCAUGGACGCACCUGAGGCCCCAAACCGCCAGAUAAAUAUGCCUCCUUAAUCUAUUUAAAUAGCUGACUGCUAGCUUUAGCUUUGUUUGCAUUUCAUGCAUUCGCUGGCGCCAACCGCUUGCAUCGGCGUAGCCCCCAGUAUUGUGCAUUGCGUCACUUUCCAUAAAAACAUUAUGUAGUUUACUAUAUUUACUAUAUACUCAGCAAAUUGCGCUGCCGGCUUGCGCAAGAGAUCUCUGCGCGCGCUCCACGCCCGCGCGCGCCGCUUGCACCAGGAUUCACUACAAUGAAAUGUCUUUUGCUUCAAUAUGUUGGUAUGCGUGGGUAUGUGCGUUGCUGAAGGGGCAGGGGGCCUUUGCACCAUCUGGGGAGCUUUUACCACAGCUGAAGUCAAGCCAUUCCUUGUGGAUCAAGGACCGCCAUCAAAAACAUAUUUGUCUGCAUCAUGGUGAUUUGAUACUCCUGUCCUUCCACGAAACGGUGAUUCACGCGUAGCGCGGCGCUAUCAUAUGCAUGUGUACGCAAGCAUGUUUACUUUGUAUAUCAGUCUCUAGUGCAGUGCACGGC
rnacentral:lncRNA from 1 species